CGCUGGCGGCAUGCUUUACACAUGCAAGUCGAACGGCAGCACAGGGAGCUUGCUCCCGGGUGGCGAGUGGCGCACGGGUGAGUAAUACAUCGGAACGUGUCCUGUUNUGGGGGGAUAACUGCUCGAAAGGGUGGCUAAUACCGCAUGAGACCUGAGGGUGAAAGCGGGGGAUCGCAAGACCUCGCGCAAUUGGAGCGGCCGAUGCCCGAUUAGCUAGUUGGUGAGGUAAAGGCUCACCAAGGCGACGAUCGGUAGCUGGUCUGAGAGGUUGAACGGCCACAUUGGGACUGAGACACGGCCCAGACUCCUACGGGAGGCAGCAGUGGGGAAUAUUGCGCAAUGGGGGAAACCCUGACGCAGCAACGCCGCGUGAUUGAAGAAGGCCUUCGGGUUGUAAAGAUCUUUAAUCAGGGACGAAACAAAUGACGGUACCUGAAGAAUAAGCUCCGGCUAACUACGUG
rnacentral:rRNA from 1 species